rnacentral:misc_RNA from 1 species
GGAAAUAAUUGGAGCAGCGGUAUGCAGUUUAUGCUUUGUAGUCUUGUCAGCUUUGUGCUUGCAGACUUAAGUAAUAGAAUUUUGAAACCUUUGUUUUCAGUUAUGUAUAAGUUGUGUUUUGGUUUGUUAGAUCUUCUUUGGUUGCUUUUAAUAGCAACAAGAAAUAACCAGACAUUGGACCAUCAUAGCAUCUCCUUCAAGUCACAUGCAUCAUAAGUUUGCUUACCUCUGAAGUUUAUGCUGCUUGUCUCAAAGAAUUUCUCUUUCAUGCUUCAGGUCAAGAGGAAGAAAGCUUCACAUGCUGGAAUGUUUGACAUUGCAAAAACAGCAAAUAGACCUAUGAUACAUAUUGGUGGCUAAGACCU